rnacentral:tRNA from 1 species
UCCCUAGUGGCUCACACGGUAGAGCAUGUCUGCAAUGCAGGAGACCCGGGUUCAAUUCCUGGGUUGGGAA